rnacentral:rRNA from 1 species
CCUACGGGUGGCAGCAGUGGGGAAUUUUCGGCAAUGGGCGGAACCCUGACCGAGCAACGCCGCGUGAACGAAGAAGGUAUUCGUAUUGUAAAGUUCUUUUAACAGGGAAGAAAGAGAAAUUUGACGGUACCUGAAGAAUAAGCUCCGGCUAACUACGUGCCAGCAGCAGCGGUAAUAGGUAGGGGGCGAGCGUUAUCCGGAAUUAUUGGGCGUAAAGGGUGCGAAGAGGGCAUAGUAAGUAUUUUGUAAAAAUGCUGGGCUAAACCCAGGAGGGCAAAAGAUACUGUAAAGCUAGAGUAUGAGAGAGGCAGGUGGAAGUACAUGUGUAGCGGUAAAAUGCGUAAAUAUAUGUAAGAACACCAGUGGCGAAGGCGACUUGCUGGGUCGAUACUGACAUUGAGGCACGAAAGCGUGGGGAGCAAACAGGAUUAGAUACCCUUGUAGUC